rnacentral:lncRNA from 1 species
UUGAUAUGACCCCUUGACUAUAGCCCAACCAUUUGUCUGAGCCUCUUGUUUAUAUAUAGAGUGUGAUGCUUGAUCAUUUGUGAUUGGUGUUUACUUGCUGUUUGGGCUGACUUGCUUCUUGUGCGAGUUAGGUUCUGAUUAGAUACCUCAACCUAGGGAUAUUGUGGAUUGCAUGACAACUGUUAGGCUCGAGUCAGUCUCCCUUUUAGUUUGUUAUUCCCCGGUCUCUGGUUAGGAGAGAGUUUCUCCCCUGUUAAGGGGAAUUAUGUCGCCCUGAUUCUC